rnacentral:misc_RNA from 1 species
UACGGAGAAUCCAAGCGUUACCCGGAAUUACUGGGCGUAAAGAGUUGCGUAGGCGGUUUUGCAAGUCAGGCGUGAAAGCCUAAGGCUCAACCUUAGGACUAUGCCUGAUACUGUGAGACUAGAGGAUGGUAGAGGUACGUGGAAUUUCCGGUGUAGGAGUGAAAUCCGUAGAUAUCGGAAGGAACACCAAUGGCGUAGGCAGCGUACUGGACCAUUCCUGACGCUCAGGCACGAAAGCGUGGGGAGCGAACCGG